CAGUCGCCACGGUAAUACGAACCGUGCGAACGUUAUUCGGAAUCACUGGGCUUAAAGCGCGUGUAGGCGGGCCGCCACGUCGGCUGCUGAAAUCCCCCGGCUCAACCGGGGAAGUGGCACCGAUACGAGCGGCCUCGAGGGGGGUAGGGGGGACUGGAACUUCCGGUGGAGCGGUGAAAUGCGUUGAGAUCGGAAGGAACGCCCGUGGCGAAAGCGAGUCCCUGGACCCUUUCUGACGCUGAGACGCGAAAGCCAGGGGAGCGAACGGGAUUAGAUACCCCUGUGUCCCUGUCUCUUAUAC
rnacentral:rRNA from 1 species